GUCAUCUUCAUUUACUUUCAGGCCAUCCAGUGAAGCUGGUCACAAAGAGAAAAGAGUCCGCUCCUCUUCCUUCAGCCUUCUGACCACCUUCCCUCCAAAACAGCCAGCACUGACAAACAAUGUGUUCAUGCCUUCCACUCUCCUGCAAGAGAGAACACAGAGGAACAAUAGAGACUCAGAAGAAAGUUUGCAUAUGUGGACGGUAAUAAAACCAGCAACGCUGCAGGCUCCUCAAGUAACUGUAUCUCCGGACGCUGAU